rnacentral:rRNA from 1 species
AAAAGAAACCAACAGGGAUUGCCUUAGUAGCGGCGAGUGAAGCGGCAAAAGCUCAAAUUUGAAAUCUGGCACUUUCAGUGUCCGAGUUGUAAUUUUGAAGAAGGUAUCUUUUGGGUCUGGCUCUUGUCUAUGUUUCUUGGAACAGAACGUCACAGAGGGUGAGAAUCCCGUGCGAUGAGAUGUCCCAGACCUAUGUAAAGUUCCUUCGAAGAGUCGAGUUGUUUGGGAAUGCAGCUCUAAGUGGGUGGUAAAUUCCAUCUAAAGCUAAAUAUUGGCGAGAGACCGAUAGCGAACAAGUACAGUGAUGGAAAGAUGAAAAGAACUUUGAAAAGAGAGUGAAAAAGUACGUGAAAUUGUUGAAAGGGAAGGGCUUGAGAUCAGACUUGGUAUUUUGUAUGUUACUCUCUCGGGGGUGGCCUCUACAGUUUACCGGGCCAGCAUCAGUUUGAGCGGUAGGAUAAGUGCAAAGAAAUGUGGCACUGCUUCGGUAGUGUGUUAUAGUCUUUGUCGAUACUGCCAGCUUAGACUGAGGACUGCGGCUUCGGCCUAGGAUGUUGGCAUAAUGAUCUUAAG